UAGUGGCGAACGGGUGAGUAACACGUGGGCAAUCUGCCCUUCACUNUGGGACAAGCCCUGGAAACGGGGUCUAAUACCGGAUAACACCUGCCCGGGCAUCUGGGUGGGUUAAAAGCUCCGGCGGUGAAGGAUGAGCCCGCGGCCUAUCAGCUUGUUGGUGAGGUAGUGGCUCACCAAGGCGACGACGGGUAGCCGGCCUGAGAGGGCGACCGGCCACACUGGGACUGAGACACGGCCCAGACUCCUACGGGAGGCAGCAGUGGGGAAUAUUGCACAAUGGGCGAAAGCCUGAUGCAGCGACGCCGCGUGAGGGAUGACGGCCUUCGGGUUGUAAACCUCUUUCAGCAGGGAAGAAGCGAAAGUGACGGUACCUGCAGAAGAAGCGCCGGCUAACUACGUGCCAGCAGCCGCGGUAAUACGUAGGGCGCAAGCGUUGUCCGGAAUUAUUGGGCGUAAAGAGCUCGUAGGCGGCUUGUCACGUCGGGUGUGAAAGCCCGGGGCUUAACCCCGGGUCUGCAUUCGAUACGGGCUAGCUAGAGUGUGGUAGGGGAGAUCGGAAUUCCU
rnacentral:rRNA from 1 species